rnacentral:rRNA from 1 species
AUUGAACGCUGGCGGCAUGCUUUACACAUGCAAGUCGAACGGCAGCGCGGGCUUCGGCCUGGCGGCGAGUGGCGCACGGGUGAGUAAUGCAUCGGAACGUGCCCAGUAGUGGGGGAUAGCCCGGCGAAAGCCGGAUUAAUACCGCAUACGACCUGAGGGUGAAAGCGGGGGAGCGAAAGGCCUCGCGCUAUUGGAGCGGCCGAUGUGGGAUUGGCUAGUUGGUGGGGUAAAGGCUUACCAGGGCGGCGAUCCGUAGCUGGUCUGAGAGGACGACCAGCCACACGGGGACGGGGAACGGGCCCAGCCUCUACGGGAGGCAGCAGUGGGGAAUUUUGGACAAUGGGGGCAACCCUGAUCCAGCCAUGCCGCGUGCGGGAAGAAGGCCUUCGGGUUGUAAACCGCUUUUGUUCGGGAAGAAAUCCUCUGGGCUAAUACCCCGGGGGGAUGACGGUACCGGAAGAAUAAGCACCGGCUAACUACGUG